GUUUCCAAAUUAGUCCGAGAACGGCAUGAAGUUUAAGUUUGAGCACCUCAAGAUUAGGUAAUUUUCUGAGAAUGUUCAUGUCUUCCCAUUGUAGGUUUGUUCUGCACAAUGUUAACUUCUUAAGGUUUGGUGGGAAAUUGUCACAAUGUGGAAUGUCCACCCAACCUCCGAUAAUCGGCGUAAAAAUUAGAUCUAAAGACUCUAUGACCACAACUUUGAGCUUCUCAAGCUGAGUUAAAUGUACAAGAUUAUCAAGGAAAUUCCUAAUAGGGUAUGAAACAAUAUCAAUUAAAAUUCCCAACUUCUUCAAAUUUGGAAUUCUUAGAAACACCUCAUCAUUACAAGAUGAGGGAAUCAAUCCGGUUAUUGUUUGCAAGUGAUUCUCCCUCUCAGCAAUUAGGGAUGUAGGUGGGGGUAUGAAAAGACUAAACUUUUUUGUAUGGAUAUGUCUUAGUUGAGGCAUAUUCACAACUUCCCAUGGUAGGAACUGGGUUCUCAAACUUAAACC